UGGGGAAUAUUGCACAAUGGGCGAAAGCCUGAUGCAGCGACGCCGCGUGAGGGAUGACGGCCUUCGGGUUGUAAACCUCUUUCAGCAGGGACGAGGCGCAAGUGACGGUACCUGCAGAAGAAGCACCGGCUAACUACGUGCCAGCAGCCGCGGUAAUACGUAGGGUGCAAGCGUUGUCCGGAAUUACUGGGCGUAAAGAGUUCGUAGGCGGUUUGUCGCGUCGUUUGUGAAAACCAGCAGCUCAACUGCUGGCUUGCAGGCGAUACGGGCAGACUUGAGUACUGCAGGGGAGACUGGAAUUCCUGGUGUAGCGGUGAAAUGCGCAGAUAUCAGGAGGAACACCGGUGGCGAAGGCGGGUCUCUGGGCAGUAACUGACGCUGAGGAACGAAAGCGUGGUUAGCGAACAGG
rnacentral:rRNA from 1 species